UACAGAGGGGGCAAGCGUUGUUCGGAAUUACUGGGCGUAAAGGGCGCGUAGGCGGCCUGUUAAGUCGAACGUGAAAUCCCCGGGCUCAACCCGGGAACUGCGUCCGAUACUGGCAGGCUUGAAUCCGGGAGAGGGAUGCGGAAUUCCAGGUGUAGCGGUGAAAUGCGUAGAUAUCUGGAGGAACACCGGUGGCGAAGGCGGCAUCCUGGACCGGCAUUGACGCUGAGGCGCGAAAGCCAGGGGAGCCAAAGCGGG
rnacentral:rRNA from 1 species